GGCCCGCACAAGCGGAGGAGCAUGUGGUUUAAUUCGAUGAUACGCGAGGAACCUUACCCGGGCUCGAACGUAUGAUGAAUAAUAUGGAAACAUGUUAGUCGAAAGACAUUAUACGAGGUGCUGCAUGGUUGUCGUCAGCUCGUGCCGUGAGGUGUCAGGUUAAGUCCUAUAACGAGCGCAACCCCUACUGUUAGUUGCCAGCAUGUCAAGAUGGGGACUCUAGCGGAACUGCCUACGCAAGUAGAGAGGAAGGUGGGGAUGACGUCAAAUCAGCACGGCCCUUAUGUCCGGGGCGACACACGUGCUACAAUGGUCGAUACAGAGGGCAGCUACUUGGUGACAAGGUGCAAAUCUACAAAAAUCGAUCUCAGUUCGGAUCGGAGUCUGUAACUCGACUCCGUGAAGUUGGAUUCGCUAGUAAUCGCACAUCAGCCAUGGUGCGGUGAAUACG
rnacentral:rRNA from 1 species